UACAGAGGUCCCAAGCGUUGUUCGGAUUCAUUGGGCGUAAAGGGUGCGUAGGCGGCGCGGUGAGUCGGGUGUGAAAUCUCGGAGCUUAACUCCGAAACUGCAUUCGAUACUGCCGUGCUUGAGGACUGGAGAGGAGACUGGAAUUUACGGUGUAGCGGUGAAAUGCGUAGAUAUCAUAAGGAAGACCAGUGGCGAAGGCGGGUCUCUGGACAGUUCCUGACGCUGAGGCACGAAGGCCAGGGGAGCAAACGGG
rnacentral:rRNA from 1 species